rnacentral:lncRNA from 1 species
CCUCAGUCUUCCUUUUCUGUUGUAGGCUCAUCAAAGCCAUCAUGUUGGAAGGACUCCAGGAGAUCACUGUCAGCCACCUCUGGAAUGUGCUGCAGGUUCCAAGAGGGUACUUCCAAAUGGUCUGUAUCUGAUACGUGAGCCACAGGUGACCAGCCAUCUCCGUCCUGCAGCCCUAAAAGGAUCAACUAAGUUUGAUGUGUAACUUUGGCUGAAACUACAGGUCCUUGCUGCUCCAGCUGCCUUUUGAGAUCUGAACUCAGCUUGCAUGGAUAUGGAGUCUUUUGCAAAAGUCAGCUUAGACUCUUUGCUGGGGAUAUUCCUUAACAUCUCAUGAUGAUAUGAUUAAUGGGAUAUUAUGUCAAAGCCAAUUUGCUCCAGUGUUGCUCCUCUCCAGUCGGCUGAUCAGCAGCAUCUCAUCUAAACUGAAGUG